UGGGGGGUAAACUAUUUAAGUUGGGGGGCUCAUGACCCCCAAAAGGGGCCAUGUCCCCUCCCCCAG
rnacentral:tRNA from 1 species